rnacentral:rRNA from 1 species
UACGGAGGAUGCAAGCGUUAUCCGGAAUGAUUGGGCGUAAAGCGUCCGCAGGUGGCAAUGUAAGUCUGCUGUCAAAGCGUCUGGCUCAACCAGAUAAAGGCAGUGGAAACUACAUAGCUAGAGUAAGGUAGGGGUAGAGGGAAUUCCUGGUGUAGCGGUGAAAUGCGUAGAGAUCAGGAAGAACACCGGUGGCGAAAGCACUCUGCUGGGCCGACACUGACACUGAGAGACGAAAGCUAGGGGAGCAAAUGGG